AAGACAUAAACCGAAGCUGUGGAAGCGGCCAUGCCGCUUGGUAGGAGAGCGUUCUGUAGGUCUGCGAAGGCUGGCCGGAAGGCCUGCUGGAGACAUCAGAAGCGAGAAUGCAGGAAUGAGUAGCGAGAAGGAGGGCGAGAAUCCCUCCGGCCGGAAGUCCAAGGUUUCCGGGGGAAGGUUUGUCCGCCCCGGGGAAGUCGGGACCUAAGCGUAAGCAGAGAUGUGAUUGCGAAUGGGAAACAGGUUAAUAUUCCUGUACCGCUGCCAGUCGCCUGAGUGACGGAGUGACGCAGCAAGGUAUGUGAGAAGGCUGACGGAAUAGCCUUUCUAAAGGCGUAGCCUGGGCACGCAGGCAAAUCCGCGUGCCUAAAGGUGAGACCCUAUGGGCAAGUGCUCCUGCACAAGUCACAGAUCCUACACUGCCAAGAAAAACUUCUAGCGAGACUGGACAGCGCCCGUACCCUAAACCGACACAGGUGGACAGAGUGAGAAACUUAAGGCCGACAGGAUAACUCUAGCUAAGGAACUCUGCAAAAUAGCCCCGUAACUUCGGGAGAAGGGGUGCCUGACAUACCUGAGGGGAGAAGCGCCUCAAGGGGAAACAGGCCGCAGUGAAGAGUCUCAAGCAACUGUUUACCAAAAACACAGGUCUAUGCUAAGCUGGAAGGCGACGUAUAUGGGCUGACACCUGCCCAGUGCCGGAAGGUUAAGAGGAGGAGUGAGAGCUCCGAUUUGAAGCCCCGGUGAACGGCGGCCGUAACUAUAACGGUCCUAAGGUAGCGAAAUUCCUUGUCGGGUAAGUUCCGACCUGCACGAAUGGUGAAAUGAUUUGAGAGCUGUCUUGGCUGGAGACCUGGUGAAGUUGUAAUGCCGGUGAAGAUACCGGCUACCUGCAGUAGGACGGAAAGACCCCGUGGAGCUUCACUGCAGCCUGGCAUUGGGUUCUGGCAACGUGUGUAUAGGAUAGUUGGGAGACUGCGAAGUUGAGGCGCCAGCCUCUUCCGAGUCGCUGUUGGAAUACCAACCAUAUGCUGCCGGAAUUCUAAUCCGCUCGCGGAGACAGUGCUAGGUGGGCAGUUUGACUGGGGCGGUCGCCUCCAAAAGAGUAACGGAGGCGUUCAAAGGUUCCCUCGGGCUGGAUGGAAAUCAGCCUUCGAGUGCAAACGCAUAAGGGAGCUUGACUGCAAGACCGACGGGUCGAGCAGGUACGAAAGUAGGAGUUAGUGAUCCGGCGGUCCCUCAUGGAAGGGCCGUCGCUCAACGGAUAAAAGCUACCCCGGGGAUAACAGGCUGAUACUUCCCAAGAGUCCAUAUCGACGGAAGUGUUUGGCACCUCGAUGUCGGCUCGUCUCAUCCUGGGGCUGGAGAAGGUCCCAAGGGUUGGGCUGUUCGCCCAUUAAAGAGGCACGCGAGCUGGGUUCAGAACGUCGUGAGACAGUUCGGUCCCUAUCCACUGCAGGCGCUUGAGCACUGAAAAGAUCUGACCUUAGUACGAGAGGACCGGGUUGGACAGACCUCUGAUGUAUCAGCUGUCACGCCAGUGGCACGGCUGAGUAGUCACGUCUGGCCAGGAUAAUCGCUGAAAGCAUCUAAGCGAGAAGCCGGCUUUGAGAUGAGUGCUCGCAGUAUCCACAGAGAACAUGUGGUCGAUAGGCUGGGGAUGUAAGCGCAGCAAUGCGUUCAGUUGACCAGUACUAAUAUUACUUGGGCUUUUUUAA
rnacentral:rRNA from 1 species